UUUACAGCUUAGGGGGUAGAGCAUGAGACUCUUAAUUUCAGGGUUGUGGGUUCAAGCCCCACGUUUGGCAAAA
rnacentral:tRNA from 1 species